CGCCUUGCCAGCCCGCUCAGAAACUUAAAUGAAUUGACGGGGGCCCGCACAAGCGGUGGAGUACGUGGUUUAAUUCGAUGCAACGCGAAGAACCUUACCUGGUCUUGACAUCCCGGAGACCCUUAGGAAACUAGGGGGUGCUUCCAUCUGGAAGAAUCUGGAGACAGGUGCUGCAUGGCUGUCGUCAGCUCGUGUCGUGAGAUGUUGGGUUAAGUCCCGCAACGAGCGCAACCCUUGCCUUUAGUUGCCAGCAGUUCGGCUGGGCACUCUAAAGGGACUGCCGGUGUUAAACCGGAGGAAGGUGGGGAUGACGUCAAGUCCUCAUGGCCUUUAUGACCAGGGCUACACACGUACUACAAUGGCCGAUACAAAGGGCAGCGACACUGCGAGGUGAAGCCAAUCCCGUAAAAUCGGUCUCAGUCCGGAUUGGAGUCUGCAACUCGACUCCAUGAAGUUGGAAUCGCUAGUAAUCGUGGAUCAGCAUGCCACGGUGAAUACGUUCCCGGGCCUU
rnacentral:rRNA from 1 species